GGCUCGAUUCUCUGGCUGAGUGACCGGGGUCCUCUAUGUGUGGAGUUUGCAUGUUCUCCCCAUGUCUUCGUGGGGUUCUUCCGGGUUCUCCGGUUUCCUCCCAGAGUCCAAAGACACUUUCAUCUGGAUUCAGAAAUUCCAGAAAUUCCACAAAAAAUCCCUUCUCGUCUGAGCGCACAAGAUGGCAGACAGCAAAGUCUUCCAGCUUUCUGCCUCCAGUGAAAGGUGGGAAAUCACCAAAUCAGCC